rnacentral:rRNA from 1 species
UACGGAGGGUGCAAGCGUUAUCCGGAUUUAUUGGGUUUAAAGGGUGCGCAGGCGGAAUGAUAAGUCAGUGGUGAAAUCCUACAGCUCAACUGUAGAACUGCCAUUGAUACUGUCGUUCUUGAGUACAUUUGAGGUAGGCGGAAUGUAUCAUGUAGCGGUGAAAUGCAUAGAUAUGAUACAGAACACCGAUAGCGAAGGCAGCUUACCAAACUGUAACUGACGCUCAGGCACGAAAGCGUGGGGAGCAAACAGGAUUAGAUACCCUGGUAGUCCACGCUGUAAACGAUGAUCACUCGCUGUUGGCGAUAAACUGUCAGCGGCUAAGCGAAAGUAUUAAGUGAUCCACCUGGGGAGUACGAUCGCAAGGUUGAAACUCAAAGGAAUUGACGGGGGCCCGCACAAGCGGAGGAGCAUGUGGUUUAAUUCGAUGAUACGCGAGGAACCUUACCUGGGCUUAAAUGUAGAAUGACCGACCGGGAAACCGGUCUUCUCUUCGGAGCAGGCUACAAGGUGCUGCAUGGUUGUCGUCAGCUCGUGCCGUGAGGUGUCGGGUUAAGUCCCAUAACGAGCGCAACCCCUAUUCUUAGUUACCAUCAGAUAAUGCUGGGGACUCUAAGAAAACUGCCAGCGCAAGCUGUGAGGAAGGUGGGGAUGACGUCAAAUCAGCACGGCCCUUAUGUCCAGGGCUACACACGUGCUACAAUGGCCGGUACAGAGGGUCGCUACCUGGUGACAGGAUGCUAAUCUCGAAAACCGGUCUCAGUCCGGAUCGAAGUCUGCAACUCGACUUCGUGAAGUUGGAUUCGCUAGUAAUCGCAUAUCAGCAAUGGUGCGGUGAAUACGUUCCCGGGCC